ensembl:lncRNA
CAGAGGUCUGAUAUCAUACGGUACGGGAUACUAAGGGCUCAGAGGUUUGAUAUCAUACGGUACGGUAUACUAAGGGCUCAAAGGUUUGAUCUGCUAGAACAGUCCCAUUUGGGCCAAUAGUUCGGGGUUCAUCCUCUUCAUGCACUCUCAAUUUAAGGGAGGGAGUCCACUUUAAGAGGGCCAAAUCAAAACAUAUCUGAUCAUACCUCUCUUGGGUUGAUAUGCACACUUUAAUAUACUGCACAAAGGACACUUUAACAAAGGACUGAUGGAGUCUUAGUGUUCAAUAUCUCAUUGCAAUUAUAGAUGGAUGACAUCCCCUGUAUGUUAAAUCUAUUUACUUCUUGAGUUUUAUAUUUUAUGAUGUGUGGUGAUUGUCGACCACUGUUUGCAAACCAUAUUGCACCUCUGAGCCAAUAAAGAUGAUCUAAUCCAACAAAUCAAAGUUCUUCCCGUGAGGGGAGAGUCAAAAAUGUUCAAAAUGAUGUUGAAUAAGACCUACAUCUUAAGGCCCUAUUAAGUCUUGUUUGACCUUGUUCAAAAAAAAAAAAAAAAAAAAUCUGAUUAACUCUGCGAAGGACACAGAGUUUCUAAAUUUGAUUUGAACCACUACUUGAUCUUAUUCUUUGAAAUUGAUCACAAAGCAAAAUUAGCCUGGAGUUAAAAAAACAAAACAUUUAUUGUUAUGUUUACGUUAUGUAGAGGCAUAUAUGACAUUCACAAAGUACAGUAAAUUAAUCAGAAAAGAAAAUAUAUAUGCAGUCAUUGUUUAACAAAAAACUUUCACACACACACACAAACAAUAUAUAUGGUAAUAAGCAUGGUUUCGCUAGGCUACAUCCAAAAAACAACAACACUGAUAUUAGACCAAAAUCUUAAGGAAUUUCCAUCCUUAUUACAGGAGUCUUCCUUUAUAUGGCUUCAGUUAUUCUGAUGAUGGACUAGUCUGGCUGAACUUUAAACGAUCUUAUGUUAUAGAGAGCAACUAAAACCAAUUCCCCUGCAACAGGGAGAUGUUUACAGCCACACACACACACACACACACACAUCUCUGGGCAGAGUUAAAUGUUUUUUUUCCGCUGGUGGAAGGGGACACAUUGUCCGCUCCCUGCAUCAGGAACAGCUCUGAGUGACUGCAGACUAUUCCACACAUUGAAACAAGUUCUGAUUGGAUAAUGCUGACACAUCAUGGGGAAACGGAGGAAAAACAAAUGCACCAAAUUAAAGGCCGGCCAAAAUACCCUCCGAUCACCAGCGUACCGUGAGGAGUACAACACCACUUCAGGACGCAGCACUAGUUGAAGUUACCAUGACUGAAAUACAUUCAAACCACAGUGACACUUACAAAACACACACACACACACACACACAGAGACUUAAAACCAGCACUUCACAAGCCCGACAGACGAAAGUCACAGAUAUGGGUCUGAAAUGAUUAAACAACCAAUCCACCGUGAAGCGGAAGUGGACCGUUUCCCUGGUUACGGGCGGGAGGGCCUCCACAAAAUGGAACACGUAAUACGCCACAGAGCGGUCGGACGGUGGGGGCUUUGUGGCCGUAGGUUUACACUUUGGAAUGAUGUGAUAAUUGGGACGACUGAACCAUGCAGCCCUUGUAUUUUUCUGGUGCUUCACAUGAGCAGGGGCGUAAAUAAAGACUGAACACAAAACAUUACAAAACACAAAACAACUGCAUUUGGCAACUCUGUAUAACAGUAAAGCUAUGGCAAGAGCUAAAAUAUUUAUGUUACAGCCCAACAACGACUUCCCCACUCUUCAUCCCCUACUUGAUAAAUGGUUGUGAAGAUCAUAACGCUCCUUAUUCUAAUAAUAUUUAAAGUAUGAGUCCCUAAGGAGACUGAAUAUGAAGGAAGCCCUGAGCCAGCUGUUGAUAUGAUACAAAACACCAUUCAUUGAAACGAGGGCUGAAUACCAGGAGUAAUAUCGCCACCUGCUGGCCAUCAUCGGUGCUGCAGACGCAUCCCGGCUCCUAACAAGAGAGGCAAGGAGGCGUAGUACUUGCGUUGCACUGCGACGACAAAACACAUUUGGUAAGAAUGACAACGGCCGGAGGACAGGUAAAGCUUGAAUGUUGUAAACACUUCAGUGGUCGGAGCUCCCUGUAGAUCAGCCCUUAUUUGGCAACAAGCGCCUUGGGCCUAGAAAAGGUGAAGCCUCGGGCUGCAUAAAAGUGAGCCUGGAUAGACGUGAUGACUGACGGGAACAUAAAAAAAAAAUAAUAGUAAAGAAAAUAUCCGUCCCCAUUCAGCAUAACAUCAGCUAAACAUGUUGGCGGCUGUUCUCAGAACGCGUCUCCCAGGUGAAAGGUCCGAUAUUAAAAAGCAGCAAACGUAGAUUAAAUAUAUGUAAACGGAGCCUCCCACCGCAAAUCGUACAGCUGAUUGGUUGAGUUCCUGUUAGUUAUAAAAAACAAAAACAACAGCUGCUGCUUCACACCGUACUCACGCCAUGAAUCACAAAAUCCAAAAAUGAAGCACCUUGUUGACAGACAUCGAUACUCAAAUCCAGAAAGUGCAACUGUGCCAUCUUGUGCUGCUCCGUCCAAAACCCCAUGCGAGACGAGACCCCCCCCCCCUUCCAAUAACGGUUUGGUUUAGUCCAGGUCUGCAAGGUGCGGUCCACACACAGCCGCAAACAAAAAAAAAGUCUGACAUAACUAAACCCAUUGCUCCCUGUAAACGUCCAUUACUACCAUCAGUCCAUGAAGAACAUUAGUAUAAAAUAAAAGAAAAGAGCGGAGAAUAAACAGAAAAAAACGAAACAGCAACAACCUGUAGAAGACUGUUCAGCUCCAGCUAGUCUUCUCUGGGCCAGCGCUUAUCUGAAGGGCGAGAGGGGGUCCCUGGUCUCAGACGGGAGCCUGGUGGAUCCCCCCCCCCCCCCAGACAUCGCUCCUAGUCGUAUGUCGUGAAGUUUCACAAGCGGAAAGCGUGGAAAAAAUAUAAAGAGAUAUAUAAAUCUAUAGAUAGAGACACAUAUCUUUAUACAUCUAUACAUCUCUCAUUAAUAUCAACAGCGUAUGUGUGUGUAUCUGGACAACGUGCGGGUGUGUGUUGGGGGGAGCACCCCACAAGGCGCUGCAGCCAGACGACCGGCGCGGUGGGAAUGGUGGGAUGGAGGAUGCGCUGGGAGACCGUUUCCAUGGUGACGGGCUACGGUGUUGUGUCACUUAAGGCAUCGUUUUCAAAAAUGGCCGAGGAGCUUCUGACGUGACGGAGAAUAAAAAAGGAAAGAAAACGGCACAUUAGCUUCUGGGUGAAGUGGCGCACACACACACACACACACACACAC